ACCCAAUAGAUACCCUGGUAGUCCUUGCCGUAAACUAUGUAUACUUGAUGUAAUUGGGCUCAAACCCUGAUUGUGUCGAAAGCUAACGCGAUAAGUAUACCGCCUGGGGAGUACGCUCGCAAGGGUGAAACUCAAAAGAAUUGACGGGGGCCCGCACAAGCAGUGGAGCAUGUGGUUUAAUUCGAUGCAACGCGAAGAACCUUACCCAGAUUUGAAAUACAGAGGACGGCUACAGAAAUGGAGCUUCCCGCAAGGGCCUCUGUACAGGUGCUGCAUGGCUGUCGUCAGCUCGUGCCGUGAGGUGUUGGGUUAAGUCCCGCAACGAGCGCAACCCUUAUCAUUAGUUGCCAACACGCGAGGUGGGGACUCUAAUGAGACUGCCCACGGUUAACUGGGAGGAAGGUGAGGAUGACGUCAAGUCCGCAUGGCC
rnacentral:rRNA from 1 species